CAACCCUCAAGCCCCUGCUGUGGACUUGGUGUUGGGGACCGGCGAUGGACAACCGUCCUGUCGCCGCCCCCUAAAUGAAUUGGCGGCCUCGUCGCGGCCCUCCUCUGCGUAGUAGCACACACCUCGCAACAGGAGCCCGGCGAAUGGCCACUGCCGUAAAACCCCCAACUUUUUUUCAGAG
rnacentral:misc_RNA from 1 species